rnacentral:rRNA from 1 species
AGGUAAGCUACUAAGAGCGAAUGGUGGAUGCCUUGACUGGUAAAGGCGAUGAAGGACGUACUAGACUGCGAUAAGCUACGGGGAGCUGUCAAGAAGCUUUGAUCCGUAGAUUUCCGAAUGGGGCAACCCAAUGUAUAGAGAUAUACAUUACCUAUAUAGGAGCGAACGAGGGGAAUUGAAACAUCUUAGUACCCUCAGGAAAAGAAAUCAAUAGAGAUUGCGUCAGUAGCGGCGAGCGAAAGCGCAAGAGGGCAAACCCAGUGCUUGCACUGGGGGUUGUAGGACUGCAAUGUGCAAGAGCUGAGUUUAGCAGAACAUUCUGGAAAGUAUAGCCAUAGAGGGUGAUAGUCCCGUAUGCGAAAAACAAAGCUUAGCUAGCAGUAUCCUGAGUAGGGCGGGACACGAGGAAUCCUGUCUGAAUCCGGGUCGACCACGAUCCAACCCUAAAUACUAAUACCAGAUCGAUAGUGCACAAGUACCGUGAGGGAAAGGUGAAAAGAACUGAGGUGAUCAGAGUGAAAUAGAACCUGAAACCAUUUGCUUACAAUCAUUCAGAGCCCUAUGUAGCAAUACAGGGUGAUGGACUGCCUUUUGCAUAAUGAGCCUGCGAGUUGUGGUGUCUGGCAAGGUUAAGCAAACGCGAAGCCGUAGCGAAAGCGAGUCUGAAUAGGGCGCUUAGUCAGAUGCUGCAGACCCGAAACGAAGUGAUCUAUCCAUGAGCAAGUUGAAGCUAGUGUAAGAACUAGUGGAGGACUGAACCCAUAGGCGUUGAAAAGCCCCGGGAUGACUUGUGGAUAGGGGUGAAAGGCCAAUCAAACUUCGUGAUAGCUGGUUCUCUCCGAAAUAUAUUUAGGUAUAGCGUUGUGUCGUAAUAUAAGGGGGUAGAGCACUGAAUGGGCUAGGGCAUACACCAAUGUACCAAACCCUAUCAAACUCCGAAUACCUUAUAUGUAAUCACAGCAGUCAGGCGGCGAGUGAUAAAAUCCGUCGUCAAGAGGGAAACAACCCAG